GAGAAGGCUAAAUCAGCCUGGCGUUGGUUGUCCAGGUGAAAGGAUGUAGGCAUGUAUCUUAGGCAAAUCCGGGGUACUCUAUGCUGAGAUCUGAUAGCAAGCUGUACUUGUACAGCGAAGUGGUUGAUGCCAUGCUUCCAGGAAAAGUCUCUAAGCUUCAGUUACACAGGAAUCGUACCCGAAACCGACACAGGUGGUCAGGUCGAGUAGACCAAGGCGCUUGAGAGAACUCUGCUGAAGGAACUAGGCAAAAUGGUACCGUAACUUCGGGAGAAGGUACGCUGUUGUUGGUGAUGGAACUCGCUUCCUGAGCUGACGACAGCCGCAGAAACCAGGCCGCUGCAACUGUUUAUUAAAAACAUAGCACUCUGCAAACACGAAAGUGGACGUAUAGGGUGUGAUGCCUGCCCGGUGCUGGAAGGUUAAUUGAUGGGGUUAGCGUAAGCGAAGCUCUUGAUCGAAGCCCCAGUAAACGGCGGCCGUAACUAUAACGGUCCUAAGGUAGCGAAAUUCCUUGUCGGGUAAGUUCCGACCUGCACGAAUGGCAUAAUGAUGGCGGCGCUGUCUCCAGCAGAGGCUCAGUGAAAUCGAAAUCGCUGUGAAGAUGCAGUGUACCCGCGGCUAGACGGAAAGACCCCGUGAACCUUUACUGCAGCUUGACACUGAACUUUGACCUUACUUGUGUAGGAUAGGUGGGAGGCUUUGAAGCUGGAACGCUAGUUCCAGUGGAGCCGUCCUUGAAAUACCACCCUGGUAAUGUUGAGGUUCUAACUCUGUCCCGUGAUCCGGGACGAGGACCGUGUCUGGUGGGUAGUUUGACUGGGGCGGUCUCCUCCUAAAGAGUAACGGAGGAGUACGAAGGUGCGCUCAGCGUGGUCGGAAAUCACGCGUAGAGUAUAAAGGCAAAAGCGCGCUUAACUGCGAGACCCACAAGUCGAGCAGGUACGAAAGUAGGUCUUAGUGAUCCGGUGGUUCUGUAUGGAAGGGCCAUCGCUCAACGGAUAAAAGGUACUCUGGGGAUAACAGGCUGAUACCGCCCAAGAGUUCAUAUCGACGGCGGUGUUUGGCACCUCGAUGUCGGCUCAUCUCAUCCUGGGGCUGAAGCAGGUCCCAAGGGUAUGGCUGUUCGCCAUUUAAAGAGGUACGCGAGCUGGGUUUAGAACGUCGUGAGACAGUUCGGUCCCUAUCUACCGUGGGCGCUGGAAAUUUGAGAGGAUCUGCUCCUAGUACGAGAGGACCAGAGUGGACGAACCUCUGGUGUACCGGUUGUGACGCCAGUCGCAUCGCCGGGUAGCUAUGUUCGGAAGGGAUAACCGCUGAAAGCAUCUAAGCGGGAAGCCUACCUCAAGAUAAGAUUUCCCUAGGACUUUAUGUCCUCUAAAGAGCCGUUCGAGACUAGGACGUUGAUAGGUUGGAUGUGGAAGCAUAGUGAUAUGUGAAGCUGACCAAUACUAAUUGCUCGUGAGGCUUGACUAU
rnacentral:rRNA from 1 species